UUUAGCUCCGAAUAGUAACUGCGU
rnacentral:snRNA from 1 species